CGGCCAUGGAGAUGGCGACCGGGCGGAGGGCGGGGCCGGGUGCGCCGCCAUCAUCGCGGAUCGGGUCUGGGCGGGGGUCUCUUCCCUGUGGUGACAGUGGCAAGACCCGAGGGAAUGGCAUGGAGACGCGCCAGGGAAGGGUCAGGAGCCUAGGGCUGCAGUGCAGGAGGAUGGGAUAAACGAGGAAUUCACUCUUUCCACUUCUGUAGUCUUUUGAGUCGCGUUCCGAAUCGUAUCGAGCAGCUAUCUUUUGCAAAACCGCCUACUCUUUUAAAAUGAAAUCUAAACAGAGCUUGAAAAUAAAAGGAGAAUGUCACGUGGAGUGGUGUGAAAACCGUGUAACAAUCAAGACUGUUACCUCUUACCUAUGAAGAAGGGUGAUGACCUCCAUAUGCCAUCCCCUACCUGAGCAUGUGCACUGCCUGUGUCACCAGGACUGGGUGCGUGUCUUCCCAGGGUAACUCCAAUGUCUCGUUUCUUCUCAUAGAAGGGAAAUAUCUGCAACUGUAUAGAUCCCCUUUG
ensembl:lncRNA